UACCGUAAUCCCAGGCCAGGACCAAAGACGGCAUUUAACUCCGCGCUUACUGCCACUAGGCAGCUGGUGGAGCGCACAAUUGGGGUCCUUAAAGGGCGGUUUCGUGUGCUCCACGAUGUCGGUGGCGACAUCAUGUAUUCGCCGGAGAUGGCAAGUAAAAUAGUGGUCCUGUGCGCUAUACUCCACAAUAUCGCGGUAAGGAGUAGCGUAGAGCUUCCUCAGACAGAGGAAUUGCCUGAUGAGGAGCCAGGGGUUGUCCGACACUUCGGUGGGGGGAGUGUUACAAGGAGGGGGAGCCAAGUCAGGGCAAGCAUUGUUGCUGAAUUUUUCAGCUGAAAGACCACACAAACUGAGGACGACCACAACGGCAAGCACCACAUGAUGCACCAGCUCAGCACCCUUCCCCUUCUCACUCCCCCUCCACUUCCCAGUCCCCCUCCCCUUCUCACUCCCCCUCCCCUUCUCACUCCCCCUCCCCUUCUCACUCCCCCUCAGCUUCCCAAUCCCCCUCAGCUUCCCAAUCACCCUCAGCUUCACAAUCCACCUCAGCUUCCCAGUCACCCUCAGCUUCCCAGGCCCCCUCAGCUUCCCAGGCCCCCUCAGCUUCCCAGGCCCACUCCACUUUCCACUCCCCUUCUCAGCCAACCUCUCCUUCUCUUUCUGUGACCCCUUCUCCUCCUUCCCAUACCCCUUCUCCUUCUACUUCCAACUCACCUUCUCAGCCCCCCUCACCCUCUAUUGGCCUAACAUUUUCACCGCCCCCCUCGCCCUCUCAAUCAGACCCACCCUCUGAAAUUACAUCCCCAAUCCAACCUCCUUCCCCCAUCCAGCCUCCUUCCCCCAUCCAGCCUCCUUCCCCCAUCCAGCCUCCUUCCCCAAUCCCUCCUCCUUCCCCCAUCCAGCCGCCUUCCCCCAUCCAGCCGCCAUCCCCACCCAGUGAAUGGGCAGAGGAAGCCCCUGAAGACAGUUCAGGGAGUCUUCAUGUUGCCGAGGAAAAUGUUGCAGUUGGAGAUCCUACAAGUUUUGGAGGCAUUCUUUACACCAUGCGCCAACACCUGCAAGGAUUAAUGCAUUGUGUUGA